rnacentral:rRNA from 1 species
AUUGAACGCUGGCGGCAGGCUUAACACAUGCAAGUCGAGCGGAGAUGAGGUGCUUGCACCUUAUCUUAGCGGCGGACGGGUGAGUAAUGCUUAGGAAUCUGCCUAUUAGUGGGGGACGACAUUCCGAAAGGAAUGCUAAUACCGCAUACGUCCUACGGGAGAAAGCAGGGGAUCUUCGGACCUUGCGCUAAUAGAUGAGCCUAAGUCGGAUUAGCUAGUUGGUGGGGUAAAGGCCUACCAAGGCGACGAUCUGUAGCGGGUCUGAGAGGAUGAUCCGCCACACUGGGACUGAGACACGGCCCAGACUCCUACGGGAGGCAGCAGUGGGGAAUAUUGGACAAUGGGGGGAACCCUGAUCCAGCCAUGCCGCGUGUGUGAAGAAGGCCUUAUGGUUGUAAAGCACUUUAAGCGAGGAGGAGGCUACUGAGACUAAUACUCUUGGAUAUUGGACGUUACUCGCAGAAUAAGCACCGGCUAACUCUGUGCCAGCAGCCGCAGUAAGAC